CUUCCUUGGCGCAAUAGGCAGUCGCGUCAGUCCCAUAAGCUGAAGGUUGUGAGUUCGAACCUCACAGGUAGCA